rnacentral:rRNA from 1 species
UCCUCCCUCUUUCCUCGUGCUUAACACAUGCAAGUCGAACGGAAAGGCCCUGCUUUUGUGGGGUGCUCGAGUGGCGAACGGGUGAGUAACACGUGAGUAACCUGCCCUUGACUUUGGGAUAACUUCAGGAAACUGGGGCUAAUACCGGAUAGGAGCUCCUGCUGCAUGGUGGGGGUUGGAAAGUUUCGGCGGUUGGGGAUGGACUCGCGGCUUAUCAGCUUGUUGGUGGGGUAGUGGCUUACCAAGGCUUUGCCGGGUAGCCGGCCUGAGCGGGUGACCGGCCACAUUGGGACUGAGCUACGGCCCAGACUCCUACGGGAGGCAGCAGUGGGGAAUAUUGCACAAUGGGCGGAAGCCUGAUGCAGCAACGCCGCGUGCGGGAUGACGGCCUUCGGGUUGUAAACCGCUUUCGCCUGUGACGAAGCGUGAGUGACGGUAAUGGGUAAAGAAGCACCGGCUAACUACGUG